rnacentral:rRNA from 1 species
AUUGAACGCUGGCGGCAGGCUUAACACAUGCAAGUCGAGCGGUAACAGAGAGAAGCUUGCUUCUCUGCUGACGAGCGGCGGACGGGUGAGUAAUGCCUAGGAAUCUGCCUAGUAGUGGGGGAUAACUUGCCGAAAGGUAAGCUAAUACCGCAUACGUCCUACGGGAGAAAGGAGGGGACCUUCGGGCCUUUCGCUAUUAGAUGAGCCUAGGUCGGAUUAGUUAGUUGGUGAGGUAAUGGCUCACCAAGACCGCGAUCCGUAACUGGGCUGAGCGGAGAGUCAGUCACACUUGAACUGAGACACGGUCCAGACUCCUACGGGAGGCAGCAGUGGGGAAUAUUGGACAAUGGGGGGAACCCUGAUCCAGCCAUGCCGCGUGUGUGAAGAAGGUCUUAGGAUUGUAAAGCACUUUAAGUUGGGAGGAAGAGCCGUUAACUAAUAUUUGACUGUUUUGACGUUACCGACAGAAUAAGCACCGGCUAACUUCGUGCCAGCCGCCGCGGUAA